UACGGAGGGUGCGAGCGUUGUCCGGAAUCACUGGGCGUAAAGGGUGCGUAGGCGGGUCUUUAAGUCAGGGGUGAAAUCCUGGAGCUCAACUCCAGAACUGCCUUUGAUACUGAGAGCCUUGAGUUCGGGAGAGGUGAGUGGAACUGCGAGUGUAGAGGUGAAAUUCGUAGAUAUUCGCAAGAACACCAGUGGCGAAGGCGGCUCACUGGCCCGAUACUGACGCUGAGGUGCGAAAGCGUGGGGAGCAAACAGG
rnacentral:rRNA from 1 species